rnacentral:pre_miRNA from 1 species
UAAGUACUCCCUCCGUCCCAAAAUUCUUGCCUUAGACUUGUUUAAAUAUGAAUGUAUCUAGUAACAUUUUAGUAUUUAGAUACAUCCAUUUCUAGACAAAAUUAAGACAAGAAUUUUGGGACGGAGGGAGUAUAGU